rnacentral:rRNA from 1 species
GGGAACAACAGCUGGAAACGGCUGCAACACCCCAUAGGCUGAGGAGCAAAAGGAGGAAUCCGCCCAAGGCCGGGCUCGCGUCUGAUUAGUUAGUUGGCGAGGCAAUGGCUUACCAAGGCGACGAUCAGUAGCUGGUCCGAGAGGAUGAUCAGCCACACUGGGACUGAGACACGGCCCAGACUCCUACGGGAGGCAGCUGUGGGGAAUUUUCCGCAUUGGGCGAAAGCCUGACGGAGCAAUGCCGCGUGAAGGCAGGAAGGCCCACGGGUCAUGAACUUCUUUUCUCGGAGAAGAAAAAAUGACCCGAUCUGAGGAAUAAGCAUCCGCUAACUCUGUGCCUCCGCC